rnacentral:lncRNA from 1 species
AGGUAUUGACAAAAAAACCAAUUGCCAAAAAAAUUUGGCCAAUCAAACAUGCAAAAAGGUCAAAAAUAGAAUUUAAUUUCCUACUUCCAUAGAAAAUUUGUGCAAUCAAUCAAGGUUUUAUUGUGUCCUUGACCGAGAAAAAAGAAGAGGAAAAUACAAUAUAGUGGAGAAGUGGUAAAGAUGAGGACUUGCGUUAUCCACAAUCCUUUAGAGGUGCUUUUAUGUCACAACUUGACUUUAGAUUAAGCAAAAAAGGAAGAAUAUUUUGAAUAACAUCGUGUGGUGUCCACACGUAACUUGAGGCAUACAACUUCUUCAAAGCAUAGUCAAUAUUGACCGACCAAAAUACAAUAGCAAAGUGAUGACAUUGAGAAUGCCGUCUAGACAUAUAUCCGAUAUCCAAACCCUCACCCCAACCGCAUUGGGUCAUUCGUCUCAUAUUAGAGAUCGGAGACCUUAGAAUGCAAUCCANNNN